rnacentral:rRNA from 1 species
GAGAGUUAAACAGUACGUGAAAUUGUUGAAAGGGAAACGAUUGAAGUCAGUCAUACCAACGGGAAAUCAACCUUUUGAGUUUGGUCUCGUGGGUUUUGAAGAGUUUUAAAAGCCUUCGGAUUUUCGAGAUUGGGAUCUUCUGGUGUACUUUCUCGUACGGUUAGUCAACAUCGGUUUUGAAUGUCAUAAAAUGACUGGAGGAAUGUGGCUUCGAUCUCGUAUUGAAGUGUUAUAGCCUUUGGUAGAUGUGAUGUUCGAGACCGAGGAUUGUGCAACGGAUACCCUUCUGGGCUAUUCGUCUGAUCUCUGAAACGUUGCCUUGAUGUCGAAAGCUUGCUUAUGAUGUUAGGGUAUUACGGUCAAAAGGUUAGAACGGAUUAAAUUCGUUAAGGAUGUUGACGUAAUGACUUUAAACGA